rnacentral:rRNA from 1 species
UGGGGAAUAUUGCACAAUGGGCGCAAGCCUGAUGCAGCCAUGCCGCGUGUAUGAAGAAGGCCUUCGGGUUGUAAAGUACUUUCAGCGGGGAGGAAGGUGUUGAGGCUAAUAACCUCAGCAAUUGACGUUACCCGCAGAAGAAGCACCGGCUAACUCCGUGCCAGCAGCCGCGGUAAUACGGAGGGUGCAAGCGUUAAUCGGAAUUACUGGGCGUAAAGCGCACGCAGGCGGUCUGUCAAGUCGGAUGUGAAAUCCCCGGGCUCAACCUGGGAACUGCAUUCGAAACUGGCAGGCUAGAAUCUUGUAGAGGGGGGUAGAAUUCCAGGUGUAGCGGUGAAAUGCGUAGAGAUCUGGAGGAAUACCGGUGGCGAAGGCGGCCCCCUGGACAAAGACUGACGCUCAGGUGCGAAAGCGUGGGGAGCAAACA